UGUUGCAAUGACCAAUUGACAUUUAAUUACCUUGUGAUUACUAAAGCGUUUAAUUUAGCUUUCUAUUCUUUCCUUACUUGAACAAAGGAACCCUGGGUGCAGUAACAAAGCCAUUUCAUCUCCUGGUAGCAGUACUCGGUUUGCUUCUGGUAUAUAUGGAAAGCUAAAUUUGCUCAGUGUUCCUACGUGAAAUACAGAAUAAAUAUUCACUAGGUUUUAAAAGCCAGUUCAGAAACUUCUGCUCCUUCCAUCACCACUUGGUCUCAUUGUGCCUCGCGCUGACUUCAUGGCACUGAUUUCAGGAGUUGCUCCUCUUUCUGUUACCGUGGGAGAAGAAUGAAGUUCAUCUCUUGCUUGUGCUGGAGGAGGCACUUUCAGAUCCGGCCUGCAGUGUUGCUCGGCUGUUUCGAGGCAAUGGCACAGUCCCAAUUCGUUGUCUUGCACCAACAGCGGUGCCAGCCUUCAAACCCACCUCCUGGAAAAUGAGAAGCUUCAAGGCUGCGCGUCCUCGUGCAUGGCAAGCCCUGAAGCCGAGCUCUUGCAGUCUAACCUUCAGGCCAGCCCUGUAUGGCAGUGUGAUUGACACAUCGCUAAUAGAGGAUUAUAACUUCAAAAUGAGGAUGAGCACUGGGAGCAGAUGAGUGUUUAAAUAACAAAGAGCCUCUUUUCAUGCAAAUGUCCCAAGCAAUAAAGAACAAAGAGAGAGGAUCUCAUCCCUCUCCUGCCCUCUGAGAGCCCGGGAAGUGGAAGCAAAUUGCUCCUGCACACCAGCCGAGGGUUUUGUUCUCCCCGGCAGCUGGGGGGGACGAUCCAACUCCUUCCAGCUCUCUAUCUCCCUCUCCAUGCUCUUCUGUUGAUCCAGCACUCGAUUUAUCCAUUCAUUUGGUAAUCUGGAAAGGUGCCCCCGCUUAAAGGUGUCUACCAGAAUGGAAAUAAUGUUUUUUGGAACGGACACGUUCGCCGUCACAACGGGAUUCUCUGCCCACACCCGACGUGAGCGAGCUGCCCCUAUUUCCCAGCUGUUGGAAAUAGGAUGGAGAGGAAGCCAAAAUUGGGAGCUUAACCUCAAAUGCCCUGACGAUGUGAUACUUUUUGAUGAAAGCUCUUACAGAUGCUAUGAAAAACAAUCCAUCUUUCUUCAGGCUAUUGACUUUGCUAUAAAGAGCAAUGCCGAGCAACGUCCUUCCUCCAGAAAUCUCAGAGACAGUUUAAAUGCUACUCCCUGGGAGGACAUUGUUCUCGUCUAAAUGUGAUGGUUUUCCGACUAAUUUAAAUUUCUCCUUAUUCAGCUUCAGUGCUGUCAGGUCUGCUACUGAAAAUAGUUUUUCCAUAGGCGAAAGUUUCUACAUGCUGGACUGGCAAGAGGCAGGCUCGUGCCAGACUUUUAAAAAUUAUGAAUCUUUUUAAAAUUCCACUUUAAAAAUAAAUAUGAAUUAACUUCGAGAUGGUGUUUCCA
rnacentral:lncRNA from 1 species